ACCUGGGUGGCUUAGUUGGUUAAGCACCUGACUUUAGCUCAGGUCAUGAUCUCACGGUUUGUGGGUUCAAGCCCCGUGUCAGGCU
rnacentral:tRNA from 1 species